GAUGAACGCUGGCGGCAUGCCUAAUACAUGCAAGUCGAGCGAAGCGGGGAAGGGUGAGUAACACGUGGAUAACAUCCUAUAAGACUGGGAUAACUUCGGGAAACCGGAGCUAAACCGGAUAAUUAUAGAUGUAUCCGCUCUGAAUUAGCUAUUUGUAAGGUAACGGCUUACCAAGGUAACGAUGCAUAGCCGCACGCAGAGGGUGAUCGUCCAACCUGUAACUGAGACACGGUCCAGACUCCUACGGGAGGCAGCAGUAGGGAAUCUUCCGCAAUGGGCGAAAGCCUGACGGAGCAACGCCGCGUGAGUGAUGAAGGUCUUCGGAUCGUAGAACUCUGUUAUUAGGGAAGCGGUACCUAAUCAGAAAGCCACGGCUAACUACGUGCCAGCAGCCGCGGUAAUAC
rnacentral:rRNA from 1 species